CAGGGAUUGCCCUAGUAACGGCGAGUGAAGCGGCAACAGCUCAAAUUUGAAAUCUGGCUCCUUCCGGGGUCCGAGUUGUAAUUUGUAGAGGGUGCUUUGGCGUCGGCCAUGGCCUAAGUUCCUUGGAACAGGGCGUCACAGAGGGUGAGAAUCCCGUACGUGGCCGCUGGCCUUCGCCAUGUAAAGCCCCUUCGACGAGUCGAGUUGUUUGGGAAUGCAGCUCUAAAUGGGAGGUAAAUUUCUUCUAAAGCUAAAUAUUGGCCAGAGACCGAUAGCGCACAAGUAGAGUGAUCGAAAGAUGAAAAGCACUUUGGAAAGAGAGUCAAAAAGCACGUGAAAUUGUUGAAAGGGAAGCGCUUGCAGCCAGACUUGCCCGUAGUUGCUCAUCCAGGUUUCGGCCUGGUGCACUCUUCUGCGGGCAGGCCAGCAUCAGUUCAGGCGGUCGGAUAAAGGUCCCGGGAAUGUAGCUCUCUCCGGGGAGUGUUAUAGCCCGGGGCGCAAUGCGGCCAGCUUGGACUGAGGUCCGCGCAUCUGCUAGGAUGCUGGCGUAAUGGCUGUAAGCGGCCCGUCUUGAAACACGGACCAAGGAGUCUAACAUCUAUGCGAGUGUUUGGGUGUCAAGCCCGAGCGCGCAAUGAAAGUGAACGGAGGUGGGAACCCGCAAGGGCGCACCAUCGACCGAUCCUGAUGUCUUCGGAUGGAUUUGAGUAAGAGCAUAGCUGUUGGGACCCGAAAGAUGGUGAACUAUGCCUGAAUAGGGUGAAGCCAGAGGAAACUCUGGUGGAGGCUCGCAGCGGUUCUGACGUGCAAAUCGAUCGUCAAAUUUGGGCAUAGGGGCGAAAGACUAAUCGAACUAUCUAGUAGCUGGUUCCUGCCGAAGUUUCCCUCAGGAUAGCAGUAACGUUUUCAGUUUUAUGAGGUAAAGCGAAUGAUUAGAGGCCUGGGGGUUGAAACAACCUUCACCUAUUCUCAAACUUUAAAUAUGUAAGAAGUCCUUGUUACUUAAUUGAACGUGGACAUUUGAAUGUACCGUUACUAGUGGGCCAUUUUUGGUAAGCAGAACUGGCGAUGCGGGAUGAACCGAACGCGGGGUUAAGGUGCCAGAAUGCACGCUCAUCAGACACCACAAAAGGUGUUAGUUCAUCUAGACAGCAGGACGGUGGCCAUGGAAGUCGGAAUCCGCUAAGGAGUGUGUAACAACUCACCUGCCGAAUGAACUAGCCCUGAAAAUGGAUGGCGCUCAAGCGUGCUACCCAUACCCCGCCGCCAGGGCACAUAUUAUGCCCUGGCGAGUAGGCAGGCGUGGAGGCUUGUGACGAAGCCUUG
rnacentral:rRNA from 1 species